GUGCUCUCUCCGCUUCUGAAAUCUGAAGAAGAGGACGAACACGUUUCACAGUCAAAUGCAUGCGAGCGUUUCUCACAGACCCGUGACCGAAGCAAAUCUCAAAGCUCUAGAAGGAAUAUUGUCAAGCUCCGUCGGCGAGCAAAUAGCAACCGCGACUCCAUUCCCGAUCAGGCAGCAUAUCCUUUGAUAUCCAAGUCGGCUGUGAUACACCUCGACGAGACGCCAUUCCUUUAGCCGGAGAAGGCCGCGGUUAGAGGCCACCAUAGUCAAUUCUUUGUUCAUCGUUUGAAUGUGCAUAUAUGUGUUUGUUCUGCUGGAAUUGGUUGUUGUUUGAGAUGUAUGUUCUCGGUUAUCUUGACAUUGCUGGGACUGGUCUGGUGUUAGCCGGAGUGGUGGCUGACGAAGAUGACUUGGUGACGGUGGGCAACAUUGGAUAUCGACGUGGGACGGUUUGGAGUUCCUCCGUGAGUUCGUAUAAUGAAGUUACAGUGUUGAGCUCGCCGUUGGAGAGCUCUCGGUGAAGUCUCGGGAGGGAAGAAGGGCAAAAAAGGAAAA